CCUACGGGAGGCAGCAGUGAGGAAUAUUGGACAAUGGGCGCAAGCCUGAUCCAGCCAUGCCGCGUGCAGGAAGAAGCAUCUAUGGUGUGUAAACUGCUUUUAUACAGGAAGAAACACUCCCUCGUGAGGGAGCUUGACGGUACUGUAAGAAUAAGGACCGGCUAACUCCGUGCCAGCAGCCGCGGUAAUACGGAGGGUCCAAGCGUUAUCCGGAAUCAUUGGGUUUAAAGGGUCCGUAGGCGGUUUAAUAAGUCAGUGGUGAAAUCUGGUCGCUCAACGAUCAAACGGCCAUUGAUACUGUUAGACUUGAAUUAUAAGGAAGUAACUAGAAUAUGUAGUGUAGCGGUGAAAUGCUUAGAUAUUACAUGGAAUACCAAUUGCGAAGGCAGGUUACUACUUAUGGAUUGACGCUGAUGGACGAAAGCGUGGGGAGCGAACAGGAUUAGAUACCCUGGUAGUCCACGCCGUAAACGAUGGAUACUAGCUGUUCGGAGCAAUCUGAGUGGCUAAGCGAAAGUGAUAAGUAUCCCACCUGGGGAGUACGUUCGCAAGAAUGAAACCUNAAUGAGUGAGNGNGAGAGAGCGAGAGACGACGAGGGAGAGG
rnacentral:rRNA from 1 species